AACGAACGCUGGCGGCAGGCCUAACACAUGCAAGUCGAGCGAGGUAGCAAUACCUAGCGGCGGACGGGUGAGUAACGCGUGGGAACGUGCCCUUUGCUACGGAAUAGCCCUGGGAAACUGGGAGUAAUACCGUAUGUGCCCUUCGGGGGAAAGAUUUAUCGGCAAAGGAUCGGCCCGCGUUGGAUUAGGUAGUUGGUGGGGUAAUGGCCUACCAAGCCGACGAUCCAUAGCUGGUUUGAGAGGAUGAUCAGCCACACUGGGACUGAGACACGGCCCAGACUCCUACGGGAGGCAGCAGUGGGGAAUCUUAGACAAUGGGCGCAAGCCUGAUCUAGCCAUGCCGCGUGAGCGAUGAAGGCCUUAGGGUUGUAAAGCUCUUUCAGACGGAAAGAAAUCGCAUCUUCUAAUACAGGGUGUGGAUGACGGCACCGUAAGAAGAAGCACCGGCUAACUACGUGCCAGCAGCCGCGGUAAAGUACAGUGU
rnacentral:rRNA from 1 species